rnacentral:rRNA from 1 species
GACGAACGCUGGCGGCGUGCUUAACACAUGCAAGUCGAACGGAAAGGCCCUGCUUGUGUGGGGGGCUCGAGUGGCGAACGGGUGAGUAACACGUGAGUAACCUGCCCUUGACUUUGGGAUAACUUCAGGAAACUGGGGCUAAUACCGGAUAGGCGCUCCUGCCGCGUGGUGGGGUUUGGAAAGUUUCGGCGGUUGGGGAUGGACUCGCGGCUUAUCAGCUUGUUGGUGGGGUAGUGGCUUACCAAGGCUUUGACGGGUAGCCGGCCUGAGAGGGUGACCGGCCACAUUGGGACUGAGAUACGGCCCAGACUCCUACGGGAGGCAGCAGUGGGGAAUAUUGCACAAUGGGCGGAAGCCUGAUGCAGCGACGCCGCGUGCGGGAUGACGGCCUUCGGGUUGUAAACCGCUUUCGGCUGUGACGAAGCGUGAGUGACGGUAAUGGGUAAAGAAGCACCGGCUAACUACGUG